UACGUAGGGUGCGAGCGUUGUCCGGAAUUACUGGGCGUAAAGAGCUCGUAGGUGGUUUGUCGCGUUGUUCGUGAAACUCACAACUCAAUUGUGGGCGUGCGGGCGAUGACGGGCAGACGUGGAGUACUGCAGGGGAGACUGGAAUUCCUGGUGUAGCGGUGGAAUGCGCAGAUAUCAGGAGGAACACCGGUGGCGAAGGCGG
rnacentral:rRNA from 1 species